rnacentral:rRNA from 1 species
GAUGAACGCUAGCUACAGGCUUAACACAUGCAAGUCGAGGGGCAUCAUGGCGGUUGCUUGCAACCGUCGAUGGCGACCGGCGCACGGGUGAGUAACGCGUAUCCAACCUGGCCGUUGCCACGGCACAGCCCGCCGAAAGGCGGAUUAAUGCGGUAUGAGGCGCUUCGAUGGCAUCAGAAGAGCGCCAAAGCUUCGGCGGCAGCGGAUGGGGAUGCGUCCGAUUAGGCAGCAGGCGGGGCAACGGCCCACCUGGCCGACGAUCGGUAGGGGUCCUGAGAGGGAGGCCCCCCACACUGGGACUGAGACACGGCCCAGACUCCUACGGGAGGCAGCAGUGAGGAAUAUUGGUCAAUGGGCGGAAGCCUGAACCAGCCAAGUAGCGUGCGGGAUGACGGCCCUAUGGGUUGUAAACCGCUUUUUCACGGGGAUAAAGUGCGCCACGCGUGGCGCUUUGCAGGUACCGUGCGAAUAAGGACCG